UUAAGCCAUGCAAGUGUAAGUAUAAAUAGACAAAUUAUUGUACUAUGAGACUGCGAAUGGCUCAUUAAAUCAGCAAUCAUUUAUUCGGUGGAUGAAGUAAUUCUAAAAUGGAUAACCGUGGGAAAUCUAGAGCUAAUACAUGCAAAAGAGAAUUCUUUGAAAAAGGAAUGCAUAUAUUAGAUACAAAUCCAAAAAUACAAAGGUGAAUCAUAAUAUUUAUAGCAAAUUAUACAGAGGAAGUAAUUCUUCUUGAUAAUAAACCGAUCAAAUUUCUGCCCUAUCAUACUUUUGGACGGUAAUGUAGUGGAUUACGGUGGUGAUGACGGGUAACGGAGAAUUAGGGUUUGAUUCCGGAGAGGGAGCAUGAGAAAUGGCUACCACUUCCAAGGAAGGCAGCAGGCGCGUAAAUUACCCAAUCUAAAACAGGGAGGUAGUGACGAUAAAUAACAAUGAUUCAAUAGAUAACAAAGUUAGAAUUAAAUUGGAAUGAGAACAAUAUAAAAUCCCUUAUCGAGUAACAAUUUACAGGGC
rnacentral:rRNA from 1 species